rnacentral:tRNA from 1 species
GCGGGAAUAGCUCAGUUGGCUAGAGCGUCUGCCUUCCAAGCUGAGGGUCGCGGGUUCGAGUCCCGUUUCCCGCUCCA